rnacentral:rRNA from 1 species
GUGACCACCCAAGUACUAUGGGACACGAGCAAUCCCAUAGGAAGCUGGGAAGACCACUUUCCAAGGCUAAAUACACACUGACGACCGAUAGCGCAUAGUACCGUGAGGGAAAGGUGAAAAGCACCCCGGGAGGGGAGUGAAAUAGAACCUGAAACCGUGUGCUUACAAACAGUUGGAGGGCGUUAAAGCCUGACAGCGUACUUUUUGUAGAACGGACCGGCGAGUUUUUAUAUGCAGCGAGGUUAAGGCGUUAAGCGCCGCAGCCGUAGCGAAAGCGAGUCUUAAUAGGGCAGAAGUUGCAUAUAGAAGACCCGAAACCGGGUGAGCUACCCAUGGCCAGGGUGAAACGCGAGUAAAACCGCGUGGAGGCCCGAACCUUUUAGCGUUGAAAAGCUAUAGGAUGAGCUGUGGGUGGGAGUGAAAAGCUAAUCGAACUCGGAGAUAGCUGGUUCUCCCCGAAAUAGCUUUAGGGCUAGCCUCAAAGUAAGAGUACCGGAGGUAGAGCACUGAUCGGGCUAAGGGCCUGACGGUUACUGAACCCUUUCAAACUCCGAAUGCCGGUAUGAAUCUUUGGGAGUCAGUCUAUGUGGGAUAAGCCGUAUAGACAAAAGGGAAACAGCCCAGACCGUCGGUUAAGGUCCCUAAAUCCAAGCUAAGUGGUAAAGGAAGUGGAAUCGCAUAGACAACCAGGAUGUUGGCUUAGAAGCAGCCACACAUUUAAAGAGUGCGUAAUAGCUCACUGGUCGAGUGGUCCCGCGCCGAAAAUGUAACGGGGCUCAAGCUUGGUACCGAAACCACGGAAUCUCUAGGGAUUGGUAGGGGAGCGUUGUCUGCGCAUAGAAGCCGUACCGUAAGGAGCGGUGGAGUGCAGAGAAGUGAGAAUGCCGGUAUGAGUAGCGAAAAGAAGGGUGAGAAUCCCUUCCGCCGAAAGCCUAAGGUUUCCUGAGGAAGGAUCGUCCGCUCAGGGUAAGUCGGGGCCUAAGGUGAGGCCGAAAGGCGUAAUCGAUGGAUAACAGGUUGAUAUUCCUGUACCAUUUCAAUGCGUUUGAGUGAAGUAGUGACGCAGAAGGAUAGACUGAGCGUGGUUUGGUAGUCCGCGUUCAAGGAGUUAGGGAGUGAGAUAGGCAAAUCCGUCUCACAUAAUCCUGAGCUCUGAUGAGGAGGCGUAAGCCGAAGCAGUUGAUUCCCCGCUGCCAAGAAAAGCUGCUAGCGAGUAUUGAAAUGCCCGUACUAAAACCGCCACAGGUAGGCGAGGAGAGAAUCCUAAGGCGCGCGAGAGAACCCUUGUUAAGGAACUCGGCAAAAUGACUCCGUAACUUCGGGAGAAGGAGUGCCUCGUUAGGGUGCAAGCCCGAGGAGGUCGCAGAUAAGAGGCCCAGGCGACUGUUUAACAAAAACACAGGUCUCUGCUAAGUGGGAACACGAAGUAUAGGGGCUGACACCUGCCCAAUGCCGGAAGGUUAAGGGGAUGCGUUAGCGUAAGCGAAGCGUUGAACUGAAGCCCCGGUCAAUGGCGGCCGUAACUAUAACGGUCCUAAGGUAGCGAAAUUCCUUGUCGGGUAAGUUCCGACCCGCACGAAAGGUGUAACGAUCUGGGCGCUGUCUCAACAGGGGACUCGGCGAAAUUGUAGUGCCUGUGAAGAUGCAGGCUACCCGCGACUAGACGGAAAGACCCCAUGGAGCUUUACUGUAGCUUGUCAUUGGGCUUUGCUGUCAAUUGUACAGGAUAGGUGGGAGGCUUAGAAGUGUGGGCGCUAGUCUACAUGGAGCCGUCGGUGGGAUACCACUCUAUUGACAGCGGGGUUCUAACUUAUAGCUGUGAAACCAGCGUGAGGACAGUGGCAGGUGGGCAGUUUGACUGGGGCGGUCGCCUCCUAAAAGGUAACGGAGGCGCCCAAAGGUUCCCUCAGCGCGGUCGGAAAUCGCGCAUUGAGUGUAAAGGCACAAGGGAGCUUAACUGCGAGACCAACAAGUCGAGCAGGGACGAAAGUCGGGCUUAGUGAUCCGGUGGCCCCGCGUGGGAGGGCCAUCGCUCAACGGAUAAAAGCUACCCUGGGGAUAACAGGCUUAUCUCCCC